GACGAACGCUGGCGGCGUGCUUAACACAUGCAAGUCGAACGGAAAGGCCCUGCUUUUGUGGGGUGCUCGAGUGGCGAACGGGUGAGUAACACGUGAGUAACCUGCCCUUGACUUUGGGAUAACUUCAGGAAACUGGGGCUAAUACCGGAUAGGAGCUCCUGCUGCAUGGUGGGGGUUGGAAAGUUUCGGCGGUUGGGGAUGGACUCGCGGCUUAUCAGCUUGUUGGUGGGGUAGUGGCUUACCAAGGCUUUGACGGGUAGCCGGCCUGAGAGGGUGACCGGCCUCAUUGGGACUGAGAUACGGCCCAGACUCCUACGGGAGGCAGCAGUGGGGAAUAUUGCACAAUGGGCGGAAGCCUGAUGCAGCAACGCCGCGUGCGGGGUGACGGCCUUCGGGUUGUAAACCGCUUUCGCCUGUGACGAAGCGUGAGUGACGGUAAUGGGUAAAGAAGCACCGGCUAACUACGUG
rnacentral:rRNA from 1 species